AAUAGAUACCCGGGUAGUCCACGCCGUAAACGGUGGGUACUAGGUGUGGGUUUCCUUCCUUUAGGGAUCCGUGCCGUAGCUAACGCAUUAAGUACCCCGCCUGGGGAGUACGGCCGCAAGGCUAAAACUCAAAGGAAUUGACGGGGGCCGCACAAGCGGCGGAGCAUGUGGAUUAAUUCGAUGCAACGCGAAGAACCUUACCUGGGUUUGACAUGCACAGGACGCCGGUAGAGAUAUCGGUUCCCUUGUGGCCUGUGUGCAGGUGGUGCAUGGCUGUCGUCAGCUCGUGUCGUGAGAUGUUGGGUUAAGUCCCGCAACGAGCGCAACCCUUGUCUCAUGUUGCCAGCACGUUAUGGUGGGGACUCGUGAGAAACUGCCGGGGUCAACUCGGAGGAAGGUGGGGAUGACGUCAAGUCAUCAUGCCCCUUAUGUCCAGGGCUUCACACAUGCUACAAUGGCCGGUACAAAGGGCUGCGAUCCCGUGAGGGUUAGCGAAUCCUUUAAAGCCGGUCUCAGUUCGGAUUGGGGUCUGCAACUCAACCC
rnacentral:rRNA from 1 species